rnacentral:misc_RNA from 1 species
GUCGAGUGCAACGAGGCUGCGAUCUUUUGAUUUUGAUUUUUAAGAAACAAGAUCAAAAGAUCGCAGCCUCGUUGCACUCGAC